CAGACGCACCGCGAGCCGAUGUUCAAUCACUUGGUCUCGUGGCCCUCGGCCAUCCGCCUCGCCGUCGGCGCCACCCUCCUCGUCAGCAACCUCAUAUGAAUCAUGGGCCGGACAGUGGGCUGCCGUCUUGGGGCUUGGGCCCCCGCUGGCGCUGGUACAAAUAGAAGGAAGAAGGCAACACAGAGGGGUGGCUUGGAACUGGACGGAAGGGGCGGCUUCGGCCGAGGCUGGCUUGGCGGCGAUACUGUUUCUUCUCCCUCGUGUUCCUCCUCUUCUUCCAUGAAACUUCUGCGGAGGACGCCCGGUGCUAGGCGGGUACCCUCCUUCCUCAACGACCUCGCCGGCUGCUGCCCAUCCUCCCCACGAAGCUCCGCCCCGACGGGAAGAAGCCACCCACCACGAACUGCCGCGCCGCCACCCUGAUGUCCCCGCACACCGCAAAUCCCUCUCCCCUCCCUCCCCCAUCUCUGUCGCCCACGGCCGCGCCCCACUGGCCCGUGUGGCGCUCAACCACCGCCGGCUAUGCGGAUCUUUUGGCUAGGAAGGGGAUAGCCUAAGCCGGCUCGGCUCGUAUCUCGGCUCAAGCCGUUUCCCUUGCGCUUGAUCCAGAAAUUAAGCUCCUUUGUAUGUUUCCCUUGCGCUUGCGCUUGAUCCAGAAAUUAAGCUCCUUUGUAUGGCAUGUGGGUCACGGACGAUUAACUUGGGCAAACCGGUCACUUUCGGAUUUUUUGUUACUCGUUAGCUUAUAAUUAGUGGGUAUCAGUUAAAAGCCUUUGGAUUCGUGGUUUUUUUGUUACAAGAGCCGCUAGAUAUGUGUCUUUGUGUAAUUUACUCACUCAGAUUUGUCGAGGAAAAAAUGUUAACCAUA